AGAGUUUGAUCAUGGCUCAGGAUGAACGCUAGCGGCAGGCUUAACACAUGCAAGUCGAGGGGCAGCGGGGUGUAGUAAUACACUGCCGGCGACCGGCGCACGGGUGCGUAACGCGUAUGCAACCUACCCAUAACAGGGGCAUAACACUGAGAAAUUGGUACUAAUUCCCCAUAACAUUCGAAGAGGCAUCUCUUUGGGUUGAAAACUCCGGUGGUUAUGGAUGGGCAUGCGUUGUAUUAUCUAGUUGGG
rnacentral:rRNA from 1 species